CCUACGGGUGGCAGCAGUGGGGAAUAUUGCACAAUGGGCGCAAGCCUGAUGCAGCAACGCCGCGUGCAGGAAGAAGGGUUUCGGCUCGUAAACUUCUAUUAACUGGGACGAAAGAAAUGACGGUACCUGAAUAAGAAGCCCCGGCUAACUACGUACCAGCAGCCGCGGUAAUACGUAGGGGGCAAGCGUUAUCCGGAAUUACUGGGUGUAAAGGGUGAGUAGGCGGCAUGGUAAGCCAGAUGUGAAAGCCUUGGGCUUAACCCGAGGAUUGCAUUUGGAACUAUCAAGCUGGAGUGCAGGAGGGGCAGGCGGAAUUCCUGGUGUAGCGGUGAAAUGCGUAGAUAUCAGGAGGAACACCGGUGGCGAAGGCGGCCUGCUGGACUGUAACUGACACUGAGGCUCGAAAGCGUGGGGAGCAAACAGGAUUAGAUACCCUUGUAGUC
rnacentral:rRNA from 1 species